GAUAUCAAGUGAUCUUCCCGCCUCGGCCUCCCAGAGUGCUGAGAUUACAGACGUGAACCCAUGCCUGGCCAGGAAUUUUGUUUUUUAGGAAGGCUUUCUACUAAUGGAAUUCCUGGCCUUGAGAGGAUGUUACUUUAGAAGGAAAGGAUUUUUUUGUUAUUAAAAGCUGGACCUACCAUGAAAGACUUCUGAAUCCAGGAAGAGAAACUGACUGGGCAACAUGUUAUUCAGAUGGGGUCUUCUUAUGUUGCCCAGGUUGGUCUCAAAUUCCUAGGCUCAAGUGAUUCUGCCCACCUCUGCCUCCCAAAGUGCUG
rnacentral:lncRNA from 1 species